UGAGGAAUAUUGGUCAAUGGGCGAGAGCCUGAACCAGCCAAGUCGCGUGAGGGAAGACGGUCCUACGGAUUGUAAACCUCUUUUGUCGGGGAGCAAUAAAGCGUACGCGUACGCAGAUGCGAGUACCCGAAGAAAAAGCAUCGGCUAACUCCGUGC
rnacentral:rRNA from 1 species